UACCAGUUAGGUCAGUCCGUGGACGGAAACCGCAGGUUCUGGGAACAACGUGGUUCUCCCACCAAAUGUAAGAAGGCGCCCACCUUUGCUCUGCUCAUGACUUUAAUAUUUGCAGCAGGAGUCAGGCCGAGCAGAGACCAUAGAGGCACAUGUAAACCAAGACAAAUCGGAAUGGGUCAUAAAAUCCCCCCCGUGCAUGUUUUCUGGUCCCCUGGCCGAAGCGCUUGGCCUAGUGGCUCACUGGCUGGGACCCUGCUCCAACCCUGCGGACGGCGGUCCCCACCCUGAGGGAGCAAACUCCCCUCUCUGCCCCUGGAGACCCGACUUCCAGCCUGUGCGGGCAGCCCAGGAAGGGGAGGCGGCUCGGCUCCGGGAGCCUCCUCAGGCUGGCAGACACCCACGGGCGCCACAUCACAGAGGCCGCCCAGCUGGGGCUCACCUGCGGAGCCCUCCCUGCGGCUGCUGACCUCCCCGGAGCGGCCAGACAGGUUCCCCGGGUGGCAGCGAGCGCCAGGCCGGAACAGCCCGUUCCCAGCGCUGCCCUGGAGGGCUGCCUUCUCCAUCCCGACUCCGUGUGUGAUCAGAACGUGACAAAGAAUCCCGCCUGCAGCCUGUUUCUCUUCCCGACACCCUGGGCGCAGACACAUCCCGAUUGCUUGGGUGACACCACAGAAGGACUCCUGUCCCUGACCACGGGUGGGGCCCUAAGGCCCGGCCAUGGCCCCACCACAGACAUAAAGGUAACCCAGCCUGAGGCUGCCAGCAUCUCCAAGUGAUGGGGACAGCAGGAGGAAGGUGGGCUCAGCCUGGGGGGCACUGAGGACCUACAUACCGGCCUCCAGGCUCUGGCCAAGAAGAUUCAGGCCCAUGUCUCGGUUGCCACAUUUGGGAGCAAGAGGUGGCAACAGCCAUGCAGCCCUGCUGCUGUCAGAGAGAAGGGCACUCCGUGUGGCCCAGCCUCAGAGCCCCUGCCUCUCCUAACGUGGGACUCAGCCCUGCUCUUGUCUCGAGAGGGGAGAAGGGCCACAGCUGGGAAGGCGGUCAGAAGCUUCGGGCAUGAGCCGUGGCAGUGUUUGUGAGCUGAGCAGCCACCUGUGUCCACGGUCUGCCUCUAAGAGGUCCCGGCCAACCUCUGAGGCAUCCCCAAAGAGGCAGAUCUCUCCAGUGAUGUGUUAGAUUCUUUGUUUUGCUACUAACAGAUCAUAAAAUUGUCAUAUUCUUUUAU
rnacentral:lncRNA from 12 species